rnacentral:lncRNA from 1 species
AUGGCAGAUCAAGCAGUCGAGGGAGAAAACACAUCUGAAAAAGACCAGAAAAUGAGUCCAACAGAAGAGGAGAACUUCCAGGAUAUGCAGGAUAUGCAUAUGCAUGCAUCUGGAGAUGCUGAUGAACUUGACUCUGGAAGAUCCAAUCCCGUCGCUGAUUCUGGCAGAGAGAUGAGUGCAGUAGAAAUGUGUCAAACUGAAACCAAGUCUGAAGAGCGCGAUCUCAGAGAACCUGAACCCUCUGACUGUGAGGAGAUGCUUCACCAAGAAUCAGUGACUGAAUGCAUGCUCUCAGUGAGCAACUCUGUGAAGGAACCGGCUCUGGUGGAGAAGGAGCGAAUGACAGAGCCAGUGUCUGUAAUGGAGAGGGAGAAAACCAUGCGCAACCUGGUGGACAUACAAAGAAAAGUGGAGCAAAAGCAGCAGAGAGACAGAGAGAGACAGUUGCUGAGGGUGAGAAAAACCAACAGAGAAAUGUAAGUGAUCAGAGCCAAAGGUGUAUUCAGUUUCAUCGUUUUUUUUUCAGGUUCAGGAGCGCCUGUCCAUCAUCCAGAACAGAAAGGCAGAGGGAGAUCUGCAGGGCAUUAAGCACACAGACCGACUGAAGCAUCUUACCCAAGAUCUGCCAAAGGUAAACCAGAAGGACACCUACACAAAGGUGUGACGGCGACCGUUGCCUUUACAGUAUUUGUGUUACAGAAAGACAAGAUCCAGCAGAAAGCUGCUGUUCGAGAGCGACUGGAGCAGGUUAGAAGAGAGCGCUCCAGCAUCAUGCAGUCCAAAAGGGACAGGUAAACAGAACGGCUUCGACCUCAUCAGGAUGCUGAAAAAGUAACGCUGACCAACAAGAAAUCGGCAUUGUUUAUCCCUCAGGAAUACCGCGGGAUUUAAGGAACUGCUGGCUCCAGUGGCUCAUCACGACAUAGAGAGCGGAAGUGACUAAAAUGCUCCGUUUGAAGCCAAGAACGUUUUUGGUCCUGAUUUUAUACAAUAGUUCCUGUGUUAGUGUUAAUGGGCAUACAACUAAACGGUCUACUUAUUUUAUGGUAAAAAUGUAAUCACAAUCAAAGUAAUUUCAAAAAUAGAUGCUUUUACAACCAAAUGUAUUGCAUGCCACCAACUUUUCUGUUUUUGGUCAUGGAUACAUGGCUUUGAGGAAGAUGGAAGACAGUAACACCUCUUAUUUUAUACUACGAUGUUACAGCUUCUGUAGCAAUCAGUGUGAACUCUCCACCCAACAGUGGGUGGGAUAGGCUCCAGCAACCCUGUGACCCCAAAAGGGAUCAAACAGCUUUACAAAAUGGUUAAAUGAAUGUUAGCUUUUACACUGCGAUUUUGCUUUAAGAAUACUUUAUUAGGUCAAAAACGUAUCAUUUCUAUCACCAUGACCUCAAAUCUGUAGGUACAAACACUACCUUUAAAACUUAUAGCUGAAAAACCAAACAUUGUGUUGAAGCUGGACUUGGAGUUUUGAAUUAGACCCAAGAUUUUUGAUCCCUUCCAUUGAUAUGGAAUUGUGUAAUUUUGGAUCAUCACGCCUCAUAACUUUUUUCUUCCCUUGUCGAGUUGUGAACUCCUUGCUGGAUUAAAGUUUGACUUAAAGCGUUUUUUCCUCUUAAAGCAAAAUAUCUCAAAUCCCAACCUAAUCUUUAUUCUUUUCCAGUGUAAAAAUGUGCUUUACAGACUCAUGAGUAAUCCUGAACAUAGCCAGAGCUACAUCUUUCCACUAACGCAAUGAUUUGAAAUCCAACUAUUUUUUUUGGCUUCCACCAGGAAAAUUCUUAACAGUACAGGAUAAAUAUUGUUGUAAGGCAAAUUUCUGUUAAUUUGUAGUCGUUUAUUAUACAUUUUGACAACCAUAAGCAUCAACAAUUAUGUAAUUUGACAAGGAACCCCCCCUUAAACCAUGUGGACUUUUGCCCUUGUGGCCAUAUUUACAGAAACAAUGAAAUUCAGAGGUGCAUGUAAACAGUGACUCCACUAUCCUGACUUCAUGUUGACUAUUGCUGCUCGCAUACGGAGAACAGGAUGACACAGCUGUUGGUUUAAUGCACGGGGACCGGGUUUAUUUACAGGUAUUUUGAGAUUGGAAAAUUCCAAUAUUAAGGGGGGGUGGGGGCAUGUUUGACUAGCAACUCUGCAAUGGGAAGAUAUGUAUGAUACAUAGCUUUCCCUGCAGAACUGCAGGACAGCAGGACCCCCCCCCCUUUCCUCCCCAAAUUUCAGGUAAUUAGAGAAAAAGUUUCUAUAUCUGAUUCUUCUGUGUAAAUAAAAACAUUCUUUAAAUAACCAUAUUUGGUGUCCAAUCGCACUGCAGCUCAAUGCAAAACAGGAAUACCUACCACCCUAAGAAGCUGGAACAUUCCACAGCAGCUCGCCAACACAGUGAGCCACUGCACUGCACACAAACACGAGUACAGAACUGUAAGGUUUGCAGUUUCAGAACACAACAACAGUCACACCAAGGAAUUUCAGACAACAAAAAUAAACGUAGUGAUUUAUCUGGCCGGUGGUACACUCAUUUUUAAUGGACCUCACAGCUCGGAACAAAAGCAUUCCCUGCAAAUCAUGAAUCAAGUUUUCUCUAAGAUGGGAGUUUUAACCUCGAGUAUUCUUUCCAAAUGUGUUAAUAGGCCAGUUCUUGCAGCAGUAGAACUCUGCAUUUUAACAGCUGCGGUGUCAGACUUCAUUUGAAAGUUUCUGGAGCUUGAAUCUUAAUGAUCAAAAUCUUCAGCAAGAACGAACAUGCGCUUGUAUGUGAUUGACUAAACUACACAUUUUACAGGAUACUUCACAAUAUGUGCAUUUUGUACACUAGACUGUUGUUUUCCCCACAGUAAAACAUAAAAAGCUUAAAACGAGAACAAGGAACAAGCGAUGCAGAGCCAGUGAACAUCUCACAACUUAACUCUUCUUGCUGGAGAAAUUGAUGAACACUGAUGUCCAAUAACACAAAACGGCCACCGCACAUCUGGGAUCUCUUUGACUUGGGGGCACCAUAGAGCUGAGGAAGGAGGAUGAUUGCAUUUCUUUUUUUCACUGGACUCAAAGAAAAGAAAUCUGAAUCUAUACGCAACAAGUCUUGAUUUAGCAAUGGAAACGGAGGGCUGCGUGUGUCUGAUUUAGCUUUUGUAUAUGU